rnacentral:tmRNA from 1 species
GGGGGCGCCUUGGUUUCGACGGGGACGCGGACGCUGUAUGGGGCAUGUCGAGGUGCAGUCACCUCGUAAAUCCGCUGCAAACCAAUAAACGCCAACAACAAGCGUUUCGCCCUCGCCGCCUAAUUGGCGAGGUGCUGCGCCGGCUGGUCUCUGGGCCGGGUCAGGCAACUGACGGCAGCAUCAUCUGACAGAGUCUAGGUUCCGCAGGCGUCGCCGAUGCGGGCCCGAAAUCUAGGCGACUGGUCCGCAAUCGGCCCGCCGAUCGGCAGGGUUGCGGACAAGAUCCAAAUCAUUCGGCUAAGCAUGUAGAACCAACAGAAAAAGGUUUCCGGACGCGGGUUCAACUCCCGCCGCCUCCACCA